rnacentral:tRNA from 1 species
UGCCGAAUGGUGUAAUGGUAGCACGACUGGUUCUGGCCCAGUUAGUCCAGGUUCGAGCCCUGGUUCGGCAA